rnacentral:rRNA from 1 species
AGAUUUCGGUUGAGGGGCCCCGAACAAAAAGACAGUCUUUGUUCUGUCCGGGGAAGUUUCUACCUCUUUGACUCCACCUCUAACGUCUACUUCCCAAAACGACCGCACAGCUCACUGCCGGAAUCACCUCCGGAACGUGAGAAAACCCUACUCUUCAACGUUCACUGCCACGAUCUAAGAACACGUGCCAUGUAACUGCACGCCUAACAUCUACACCGUUUACUAUUUUCAACCUCUUUCUACAAACAGAUACCCCUUGGGGCUCAACUUUUGGCAGUAGAGUACACCUCAAGAGAAAGGGUCGAGGCACGCCAAAGCAAUCUCGGCACCAAUCACACACCUCUGAAAUUACUCCGUUACACCGUCGUGCUCGUAUACAGAUCUCGGGUCGCGAGACUUUUAGUCUACCCCAAUAAGGCGCUGACAAACAACCGUACGCUUAAUACCCUGGAGCCAAAGAGCCCAUAGGUAAAUGUAUACUAUUACCCGUCUAACCUCUCUCCUUGCACGCUCAAGCGGAACUAGCUCGGACACGCCUACUCCCCACCUCCCUCGAGAAGGGCCGGCGCGUUCAACAAGUGGAACGAAGCAGUACACUGGUGACAGGCUAGCACCAAGCUAACCGAGAACUCCUAAGCUCCUCCUGAUGUCGGAGAGGAGCCAUACUCUAAUACACCCUUGCGGUGGGCCGCAACAGUCUCCACCACCGCUCACCUACCUCCUUUUCGUUUGGCCGGCCGUUAGACCGCCGCCACGCCCUGCGGGAUGUACUUUACUACUUACCGGAAUCCCGCACCUCAUUCUUCUUAAAGCCGGUACAGUGUCUUAACCUCUUCAAUUCUAGGCUCGACCAACUGGAUGUCGAUUUCCUACGCCUAGCAAGCAACUAAGCGGUCUUCUACCGAGUUGAGUUACUCGACGAUAUAUCCCUUCUCUACUACACCAAUGUCUCUAGCGCGUAAUGCACCGACUUCCUCCCUCUUGCUUAGUGUCGUAUAAACGUAUCCGCUCGACACACCGCCCGCGCCUCCUUGAUGUAUGUCUCUGAAGCCGCAUGACUACCUAGUACCACGAGGAGAGGUAGCCUGUACCUUGCGUACCGAUGAAGGAUGAAGUUCCUUCACAUGUGGUUCCUGGGCUGAGAGUUGGGGCUACAGCAAGAACUCCGAUAACCGGGAUUCCACUGACUUGUCUACUUGCGGUACAAUACACGCGGCAAAUGGCUCCUCCUUCACAGCUUACGUGACAAAGUUUAACCAGGCGAAUUUCGAGGCCCGUGCCUACCGAAGGGCCGUUCCAAGAUAGUUGCCUUAACCCGUCGAGAUUUUAGACUUUAGUGUCGACAACACAACCUCAAGAAACAGAGACCGAGGUACGGUCUUCCCCAAUUACUAUGCCGCUAGCAGGAGUAGGGCUUUCAAGGAGUAGGGUUCCUCGAGUUCCUAAAGUCCGGCUAGUCGGAGACGUUACAAUAAAUGUUCAACCACAGAUUUACAAACCAAUUGGCAGAGGCAGGGACAGACAGCCUCAACUAAAGACUCUUAGUUUCACGAAAAUAAGGCCCGGCCGAGUAGAGCCUAUUAAGAUAUAACGGAAACUCACGUAGGUAGUGUAUGUUAGCAACUUCUUGUGGUCAGCCCGCCGGACGCGCAUGUUUGAGAUAGAAAGUUUCCGCAUGCUAGCCCAGCUGACCCUAAAAGACCUCUUCCGCGACUCAUCUACCCCGAAGAGCCUUGUCACCUAUCGAACCUAUUACAGAACACAGUUUAGACAGGCAAUAAGCCAAUUUGACUUACCCUUUGAAGACCUCCAAAAAAGUGGUAGCGCACCGGAAGCAGUUCCACUGGGUAACAGAGGCAAAAACAAAGAGAAACAGCGACUACGCAAUAGACGAGAGGAUAGAUUUAGUCACUUACUUCCAUCGAACUUGCCCCACUCGUAAACAGCCCCACGUGGCCUCUAUAGAGUAGAGGAGAAACGCCUACUGUGGAACGAUAAAAAACUUCGAAGUCCGGUCGUCCGCUUACAACAAUUUCCAAACAACUUGUGAAUAAGGAGCCGCUGCCCAGUUGAAUAUUUGGGGCUCUUCACAAGGUAGGAAAAAAGACUGUUAACGCCACCCAGUCAGCACCUACUCUAGUUCUCAUGUAACCUCCAUUGCGUUGUCCACAAACUUGGUUUUAUGGAACCUGAGGGCCAGGGACUUCCUUCUCAAGUGUUCCCCGUCAAACUCUGUGACGUUCUAUCUAACUCCUUUUAAGAAUAACUAACCUCACUUGUUAUACAAAGUCCACCUUUAUUUCUCUAAGAAUAGUUCCGGCACCGAGUCCGCUAAGGGUGGAUACAUUACUUACACAAGUUUAACGGCCGGAGACACACACUACUAGAUUGGUUCUACUACGCCGUUAUAACCACCCCCCACCUUUUACCGUUUUCCUUCUACCGGACCAAUUCGACCCUCUCCUACUACAAUGGGUUUCGUUACCCCCCGUACCCUAAGGCUCUGUACUCCCGCAAAUUAGUUCGAGACGAACGGUUCGUCCGAGGACGAACCGCGGAGAAUCUAUCGGGUCUAUCGGAAACACGCUCUAAUAACUUCCGGUUUAUGAUGGGAUCCCCUUUAAACGAACUGUGACAAAAGAGUAGAUUGUCAAGCCGCCAUACCUUCCCAUAACAAGUACCUGAACUAGACCACUUUUUCCCGUAAUAUACCGCGCAACCGUUGCCGUGUUACUAUUUUUCGACCUCUCUACGAACCUAAGGAGCACCAGUGUUAAAGUCUGGCUAGUGAGGAUUUCCCUUGACAGCCAUGUUAGCCCACCGACUAAAAGACUUACUUGUACCUCGUACCCUACACCUUGCCGAAUCCCUCGUAAAAACCCUGUACCUACAGUCCCUCUAGCACUUCUAUGCGUGUAGAGGUUCCUUGCCCGUCCUAAAGUAGCGAACCCGGGGCCUCGCCAGACCUGUCAAGUGACACGCAUCACGAAUAGUAGAUCGUUGCCUUCAGGUCGUGAGGUACGCCGAGUCGAGCAGUUCGUCAUUAAGAAGUCCAGCCUCCGGGUAAACCGUCGCCUAAACCUCGAGAUUUCACGGAGAUUUCUACUCUUAAUACCGGACCUUCGAACAGAGGCCACGAAAUCGAUGUUUACUUACGUUCUUCAUAGCAGUGUAUAGAUGAUCCCUAUCGACAGCCCACACACCGGCUCUUUUCCUCUGAUCGAAAGUACGAGAUCACAGUACACUCGUACGCGUCUCCUAUACCCGAGUCUACUCUUGACAAACCGCAAAUGGCUCGGUCCUCGAGGAAGUACUAUGACCCUUCCUUACCGAAAAUUUGCAGGACCGUUUGACGCUACUAGUGUACGCCCUAACGUGCUAGUACAACUAUACCUCCUAAACCAGCGAUGCUAGCCUGGAAUGUGUGCCUUUCCUACGAGGCAGGCAUUGCCGUUGCAGCCUAAUGGAAGUUUCAAUAUACUUAAGGAACUUGGACACACCAUGAAAGAGGUGCCUACUAUAAGAGUUUCCCUUUUACGAUCGCCAGGCCCUCCGUUUGCGGCUCCAUGGGCGGGGCGGUUAUGGAGAAGUGACCGGCGCUGGCGGGUGCCCUACCCGACGCGAAAGCCACCUACCACGGAAGUACGUUCUCCUGCCCAGCCGCCGUCGUCCAUACUAUGAAGCUUUAGUACUCCCACCACACUAGAAACGCCGUAUGUCUACGUAGAAGUUGACGUUGCUGCGCGACCUUCGCCUUGAUGUACGUUAUUACGUACCAUACCGGAACCGGGACGUCGUGAGUAGGAACGGUUAACACCAAGUCAGUCUGAGUAGAUGCCGUGAUCGACGUUACUGACCCCUGUCGAACAGGUCCAGACAAAUACCCGUAAACCAUGAACUCUAGUUCGCAGUAGAAGUCCUAGUUCUCAAACAAGGUAGUUUUUAUUUCGUACUCGUUUUAUCCCAUCGUGUAGCCAACCGUAACAUAUCAGCAUACCGACCCUUCCUCGGGUGGAACAUAACUCCUCAACCACGGAGAGCUAACAUUGGGAGACUAAUACCUUAUUUUGAGAGAAAGACAGCGUUUUUUUUUUUGCUCUCAAGUACACAAAGUACAUGAACACAUGAAGACGAACUCCUAGUUAAACCGCACUUCUCCGCCUAAUGGGACUCUACGUCUUCCUUAUAU